GAAGUUUUUUUUAUUUAUUAAAAGGUACAUUGCAGUAACAUUCUAAAUUAGCAUACCAACGAUGUAGCCGAACAAGACAGCCAUACAGGAGAAGAUCACCUACGGCACCAAACAGGCCUUAAAGUGGAAUGUGAGUGGCACCAGCUCUGAACGCCUCAGUUUAACUCUUACUCAACAAGCCAGGUGGAGCCAGGUGCCUCAGGGCAGGUAAGCUGAAGGGGAACAGGAGGGGAGGCGGAGGAGGAUUCAGGUGACCAGUUUUACUUGGGACUGACUCGAACCCGUCCGGACACGCAGGGGAGAGCUGCUCAAAACAGCCCGGGGUGAAAGAGGGGGAUGGGGCAGGAAAAACUUGAAAUAUUAACAUAUAAUUCUCCUUUUGGGCCUCUUUUCCCAUCUCUCCCUUUUCUUUACCUCCAUCACUCUGUCUUUUUCACUUUUGUUUUUAUGCAUCAUCUGUCUUUCACAAUUCACCUCCCAGCUACAUUAAGUUCCUUUGGAAGUCAUGAAAACUCUUGGUCUUGGUUGUACAUUUAUUUGUUAGACAAUUCAAAGUAGAGGCCCUAAUGAUUUGUUGAAUCAAGAGUACUUGUCUGGGAUUAUAAUAAUGUGUGCUGUUUUGGUUGCUUUAUGACCUGAGUUGAAAACCCAAAAUGGGCUCAUCUCAUUUAGUCUACUGGUUGAUUGUUUGGUUAUUAAUGUUUUGGAUGACUGAAGAUGAUCUUGUCAUUGACUGUAAAAUACUCUGGAAGUUGCUGUGAUGA